rfam:Vibrio vulnificus YJ016 DNA, chromosome I, complete sequence.
UCGGUUGUUUAACGUAUCAGGGUCCAGCAACAAAAAACCCCGACUAAUCGGGGUUUUUUGUUAUCUGUACUUCUCGCUGGUGCGAGUUUUGUACAGAUAGUGCUUGGUUUUUAUAUUGGGCUCUGAGCCCUUUUUUU